GUGGGGAAUCUUCCGCAAUGGACGAAAGUCUGACGGAGCAACGCCGCGUGAGUGAAGAAGGUUUUCGGAUCGUAAAGCUCUUUCGUUAGGGACGAACGUGCUCUUUGUGAAUAAUGAGGAGUAAUGACGGUACCUAAAUAAGAAGCCACGGCUAACUACGUGCCAGCAGCCGCGGUAAUACGUAGGUGGCAAGCGUUGUCCGGAAUUAUUGGGCGUAAAGCGCGCGCAGGCGGGAUAUCAAGUCUGUCUUAAAAGUGCGGGGCUCAACCUCGUGAGGGGACAGAAACUGGUAUUCUUGAGUGUCGGAGAGGAAAGUGGAAUUCCAAGUGUAGCGGUGAAAUGCGUAGAGAUUUGGAAGAACACCAGUGGCGAAGGCGACUUUCUGGACGAUGUCUGACGCUGAGGCGCGAAAGCUAGGGGAGCGAACGGGAUUAGAAACCCCAGUAGUCC
rnacentral:rRNA from 1 species